AUCCCCCCACUUUGCUGAAGCCUUACGUUCCACGCGAGGUACUUAUGUAGGCAAAGUGGGGGGAU
rnacentral:ncRNA from 1 species